CGGACCCACCGCAGCCGCGCGGCGCCACCGACAGAGAGCGCUUGAACACUGCAAGGGAGACGGGACACUUGUAGCCAGCUCCGGCCAUGGGAGCGAACACAGGCUGCAGCAGCGGCAGCUACCAAACGACUGGGGCCAUGUAAGAGCCUGGUUAAAACUUGGACACACCAGCAGUGUCUGCAGAGGCCCUGUCUCUCCGCGGGUCACAUUGCUGUUUUAAAUAGUGAGAUUAUCCGUCAAACAUGCGCAGAGCAUUCCCCCCCUCCCAAGCUCAUUACGUAACACAAAUCCCGAGUCAAUGGUCACCUCUGUCUUUGAGAGUGUGAACCAGCACAGGAGUGACACCACAGACCUGAUUUGACUUUAAGCCCGGUGAUCUGACUCUGUCCCUGGCUGAGGAGCGGAAGUGAGCAGCAGUCGUUGCCAAUCCAUUGACACUGCAGCCUGAGCUAAGCAUGUGCAGAUCUGCGGUCAGAUGGACUGUGUGGUUCCGGUGUUAAUGUCCAUGCUGUGCACACCGGGUCAUAGCAGCAUGUCCCGCAUGAUCCGUGAGACAAAUGCAACCACGCAUCUUGUCCCAGCGCGUGCAUGUGUACAUCAUCCAUACAGCGUUUACUCACAUAAUCCAACUUCGGCAUGACGGUGGAGCACCCCCCCAUCUUGAACUUGAACAGGUUGAACAGCUCCUCCGGGUGACCCAGUGACUUCAGGAUGUCCAUGAUGCUGCGGGUUGUCUCAGGUGUUUCUCUGUCAAGUCGCUGUGUCCAUGGACGGAGGAGCUGCAGCGGCAGACACCAGACGAACACACGGUCACAGGAGCUCGUCUGAUCGAAUGAUGCCCCUGAUUGGUUGGAAAGUCAUGGGCUUAGGCUUCGACGUCCAAUGGGCGGCCGUAGCGUCUGGUGUGAUGCCCCGCCCCGGCCGACUCUCAACAAACCACGGCCUCUGAUUGGUCGGGGAUGUUAUCUAUGAAGGAAACGUACCUGCUCAAUGAAAUAAUAUCUCAUUAUUAUUAUUAUAUUAUUAUAUUAUGAAAAAAAUACAUAACGAAGGGCUAUCUGCUGGCUGUGUUCACACUGUAUGAGAUGGUUCAUUGGAUGUUUUUAAAACGUAUGGAGAUUUAUGAUUCUUUACAAGAACAAGUGUUUUAAAGAUUGGUCUGUUAUUCAGUCAAAGACAACUUUAUUGUCAAUUCUGAAAUAUGUGCAGGACAAACAAAGGAUUGAAAUGCAGAUUCUCUCUGAUCCCCGGUGUAAACCAUAAGUAAACAGAAUAUAUAAGUAUGUAUUAAGUACAUUAAUAUGUAUAUAUAUAUGGUCUAUUAUUAUGAAUUUACCAAAUGCAUGGAAACUAUAAGUUACACUAACACACAUAUCCAGGAGUUGUUGAACUUAGGCUACUGGACAUGAUUGUGUUACAGUUUUUUUCUAUAUUUACAUAUUUUUAUUGACAGUCCUCCCAAAAUAUUCUUUGCAUGUUUGAACUUCCACAUUAUUUAACUCAUUUUUUCUUUUAUGUAUAUAAUCUAAAUAGUAAAACUUACAUAUGUUUAAUUUGAGUACAUUUCAGAUAAGACAACUAACUUUACUAAAAGCAUUUCAUUCAUUUAUUUCUACUUACCCCAGCAUAUCACUGACCUCUUUAAGAGCAGCUUUACAGAAAAGCUCAGUUUCUCAGUUACAUAACUAUCCUUCAUCGUUUCAAUAAGUCUCGUACUGUGGGUGAUUCUUGCUGUAACCAUUAUCUUCUUAAAGUUUUCUUACUUGCACAUAAAGCUGGUUCGGAAAGCUCAGGAGUAGUGGAGUGUGUACGGAGUGAAGACGCUCAUUGGCUUUGUGAGAUGCUGGAUAUUCAAAAGAAGCAAAGAAACCCUCUUCAGGGAUGUCACCUACAGCCAAGUGGACUGUAUAAAUCUGACUAAGAACCAUGAGGAAUAUGUCAAAGCAGCUACAAAUAGAGCUGAUCUCAAUCCUUUGUGUAAAAAUCAGAGCUCUGCAGUUAAACGCCUCUUGAAAUCUGUGAAUCUGAGUUAACCAUUGAUGGGCAUCGUGCAGGAACAGGACUGGAAGAGUUAUUUCAAGAAAGUGCACAGCGUUUAUGAAAGCAAACCAGAGGACGUGAAAAUAGACUUGACACUGAAGCUGAACACCGGGAUCAGAGCUGCUCAAGCUCUGCUGUCAGAAAAAAGUGAAGUUUUGACAAACAUCUUGAAAGUGGUAAGACGUUCACACUCAAUCACACUUUUGGUUUCAGGGUAUCCGACUCUUCACCAGUGUAGGAGUGAGAUGGUGCAGGACAAAUAUGCAGAGUUUAUCAGGGGGAAGUUGACUGAAGAGUUCAACCGAUGUGCUGUCCAUCUUCAUCAAAGAUAUGGUAAAGUUCAGAAAAUGAGUAUUUGCACAUCGGGAGGAUACAGUUUCCGGAAGAAGAGUUAAAAGGACAAGAGCUGCUCUGUAACUCAACACAAGGAAGUUUGAUUCAACCAACCUUUGGAAUGCUUGUAAUGCAGGAUGAUUUACAACUAACCUCCACCUCAUUCUAAUGUUGGUAUUAUGUUUAAAUGUUCAUCUAUAAAUCCACAACAACACACACAACCUGAAUUACAAUGUUAAACCACAUCUUACCAGAUCAAAUCUAAACAAUGAAACAACGACGUGAAACUUGUUUUAGACUUUCAGGUGUGAAAACGCCCUGAGGAUGUUUUUCAGUUAUGAACUGGGGAAAAAUGUGAAAACUGGGUUUGCCUUUCACGCAGCAGGACAUUGUUUGGUCCGACUUCUCCAGUCUCGGACCAAAAAAGUUUUGUGUCCAUUGCACGCUGGGACUUUUGAGGAAAUAUUCCCGCUCUAUUCUCACAAAAGCUCACUCUGACAUUUGCUGGACAUUUUUAUAAAUGGUUGGCAAGAAAUGUUCUGGAAAAUAUCUGGAGCAUCGGAUUUAAAGAAGGAAAAAGAAACAGAAGUUGUUUUUUUAUUUGCACUUUGAAAGUAGUUUGUAAAUAUCUUUGUUUUAGUGACUUAAAAUGGCUUUUGUGUGUAGACGAGAGGCUCAAAUCCAGAGGGAAAAGUUUGUUGUAUCCGGAUCAGUGUGUACAGAUUGAUACAGCCACUCGAAGAAUACUUCUGUGUUUCUCUAAAAGCAGCUAAAUGGAUAUCAGGUAGCGUUAGCACAGACAGAGAAGCACACACACACACACACGUUUGUCUCUCAUUGUGUCUUUACUUACAAUAUAUCACAAAUGGUGUAUUACACAAUUAUACUGGAGUGGAGUUUGUUUUUUACAUA